UAGAGUCCCCAAGUAAGAAGAAAUAGAGAAAAAAAAAACGGGGUAUUAAUGCCACACUGCUGCUCAAGAUGGCGCUAACCUGCGCGAUUUCCUGACAACCCAUUCAUCCGCCUCCUUGGGGUCAGUGAAGAAGAGCGACUUUUCUCCAUCCACCACCCGCAGCCUGGUGGGGUAUGCCAUGGAAUAUGGUGUCUUUGUCCAAUGGGAGGAUCCUGGUCUGGCAUGAGACAGAUGAUCUUCAUCCUAUUGGAGGAGAGUCUUAACGGAUGAAAGGAAGAAAGCAAGCAGAAAGCCAAGGAGGCGAAGACUGGCCAAGAAGAUGCCUCAAUAUUAAACAUUACCCCAAACAUCGGAAUCAAGGAUCAUCUAUUACAGCCUGCUAUGCAGAGAAAAGCUCGAGCUCGGAGCUAAUUGAUUUAACAGGCGCAGUGACGAUUACCUGUGUGAAGUUGGCACCCCAUGUUCUUAAAUUUCCAAAAGAAACACACUAUUCGUAUGUGCUGCAUUUGUGCUGGUUUGUGCCGCAAAAAUGAGCGUUUGUGCCGCUUCGGUUCCUGGGAUAUUGCGCGUAAAAUUUUUAUGAAGCCCCGCCCACUUUCCACCCUAUGUUCUUAAAUUUCAAAAAUAAAUACACGAUUUGUUUGUGCUGCAAAA